CAGCCGCCGCGGGAAUACGAAGGGGGCGAGCGUUGCUCGGAAUGACUGGGCGUAAAGGGCGCGUAGGUGGUACGGACAGUCAGAUGUGAAAUUCCCGGGCUCAACCUGGGGGCUGCAUUUGAUACGUCCGAACUAGAGUGUGGAAGAGGGUCGUGGAAUUCCCAGUGUAGAGGUGAAAUUCGUAGAUAUUGGGAAGAACACCGGUGGCGAAGGCGGCGACCUGGUCCAUUACUGACGCUGAGGCGCGAAAGCGUGGGGAGCAAACAGGAUUAGAUACCCCAGUAGUCCCUGUCUCUUAUAC
rnacentral:rRNA from 1 species